CUGACACAUAAAGGGAUGCGCCUGGAGCUCUGCCAGCGCUACUGUGUGGUGCAGCGCUUGGUGCUGGAGAGGAGCGAACCCACAGGAGCAUCUCGUGAACUUUGGGGUCUGCAAUGAACGGUUGAGGACCCCACAACGGAUCCUGCAGUGGCUGGUGCCAGGACCUCGGUGGACACUGGGUUAAGGCAAGCAAGAACCUGCGCUCCUUUGGAAGGCCAGCAUGCAAACAGCAAGACACAAAGCUGGGUUUGCAGAAGUCAGUGAAUAAAGGAAGACAAAUAAGUAAAUAAAUAAAUAAGUUGCGGUGAUUGUAAAUAGGAUGCCCACAGUGAUAGGAACCCUAGGCUGGAGUCGUCGUGCUGGAGAAAAUAAUUGUAUUUUGGUGUUCAAGGACUCUUGCUUCCGGUCAGUGGUUACCUGGCGUGACUUAGGUAGGAGUCUAACUUUUGCAAUUGUCAUUUCUUCAGACAUUUGACUGGAGAAACAGCAGCAAAGCUACUUGUCCCAGAGAGCAGCGCCUGGUAAGUACAGUCUCAGCAUUGGUGGGGUAUAAUAAUUAGGGAAAUCAAAUUAAGAAGACUUUUUGACCGCAAGGGAACACAGUGGAGAUGGAAAAUAAUGUAUGGAAGAUGAGGCAGGACAUACUGCAAAAUUGUUACUUCUGUCUUCAAACUGUGAAGUUGCACUUUGCG
rnacentral:lncRNA from 1 species